rnacentral:tRNA from 1 species
AAUAAAAUGGCUGAGGUUAAAAGCGAUAAAUUGUAAAUUUAUUAACAAGAAAAAAAUUCUUUUUUAUUA